GCCAAUACCAAGCACGCAGUGUUUGUGUUCCCGCCUCGGACCUCAGACUGAAGGCUAAAUCCCACCAUGUGUGCUGAAAUCCCACCUGUGCUCAGGGGCGGACACAGAAUGUACAGAGCCAUCUUUAUGAAGUCAUCAUUGAAAAUAAAGGGGCAAAAUCUGGGUCUGUUGGCUUAUCUCCAUGGAAGAGCCAGCUCAUGGACCUGGGCUGCACACAUAGUUCUAGUGACAACUCAGGAGCAGCGGGCACUCCAUGGUGCCCCCUCUCAGGCACUGCACCUGCCCUCUCCCACCUCCUCUGGGCACCAGCCUUCUGUGUGAAUUCAUCUGAGAAAAAGAAAGAUGAGAAGCAGAGAAAUCGCAAUGCGCUGUGAGGCGGUGGAUGAGCAAACCAGUUUACCAACUUUUCAAGGUUCAGAGAGGAGCUGAUCUCUGCAAUGGAAUUAAAAACAAAGAUCGGCCACUUGCAACAACAGCAACAAAACAAUAGAGGUUUUUAUUUAUGGAACAGAUCUAAGCUCCCCCCUUCUCUCAAAACUUUCAGAAAAGCCACCCCAUCAAGUCUGUAGCUCGAGAAGGCAAAACUGGGGUGGCUGGGAGGCGCAGUGGGAAAGCAAGAGGGAAGUGAGUCACCCAGGCCAACUCUGUCCUGCUGGCUCAUCCACUGGUCCCAUUGGCGAAACAGGUAUUUCAGAACCCUCAGAGGCAAGAGACGCUGCGAGCGUCUUUCCCAACUGGGAUCUGUUUGCACCUGUAAGGUCUUGUUCCAAACGUGCUAUUAGCAAGAGUCUAUAAAGGAAGGUGGGACUCCUGCUAUUUAUAGGUGAGGCACCAGAAAGAAAAGUGGCUUUCACAUCCAUACAGAAAGAAAUUCAAGGGGCAUUUCCAGAUGGCUCUCUGUUGUUUUAGAGAGAAGUGUGUGCAUCCCCUUGCUCAUCUACUUGAGUGGGAGCAUCGCAGACAUGAAAGGCACAUGUAAAUCACAGAAGGGAGUGGUUUGGCGUUUUAAAAACUGGAAGGAAUGGGAUUAAGAUCUCCUCGCACAGCAACAUCACAGUCUAGAGUGUGGGCGUCUCUUCCUUCCAUCUCUUUCUUCCCCAUCAUCACAGUUUUUUUUUUUUUUAAAUUCCAAAGAAUCUUGCCUAUUUAGAAAAGCAAUUCACCCAUGUUUCAUGGGUGAAUGAAAAACCUCUCCCGUUUGGUGGGGAAACGGCACUAAAAGAAAGAGGCACACCAAGAGGGUCCAAUUCCUUCUCUUCAGGCUGGGGUGUGACCCCGAGAGUGAGCCUGUUGUGUUUACUGAGGGAUGCCCGGCCCUCCACCCCACGGCCUUGCACAGAGUGGGCUGCUCAGAAUGAACACUUGGAUAAGUAAGGUUUAAGAAGAGACAAAACUCGCUUCUCUCCUGAUAGAAGCCUGCCAACACAGCUUACAAGGCUGUGUGCCAUCGCUUUACAACCAACCACCUAAACGCCUGCCUCCUGUGCCCUUCCUUCUUCCCGGGCUCCGGAGGAGGGUCAGGGACAGGUGUGCUGGGGGCACUGGGCAGGACACAGCCCAGAGUGGGCAGGGGGGAGGGAAGGAGGAAAGCAGGUCCCACGGCGGGCAGGUGGGUCCUGCUGACAUCACACAGGAGUCAAACCUGACCGGCUGGAGACUUGCACGCAGAUCCCCCCGAACGGUAUUUUAUGAAAAUGUCCACGGCGCCCUGCUCUAACUGUGCGCAAUACAUUUCCUGCUCUGUCGCCACAAGCAGCUCGAUGCGGCUUCACCAAAACACAAAAGUGCACAGGAAUUCAAUACUCUUAAGCUAUUCAAGCAGGCCGCGUGACUGAGUUAAACCGAAGGACACGGGACACGGACAAACGAGGAGGACACCCUGGGCCCUGAACUCUGGCCUGGCUGAGACCUGUAGCCGGCUGCGGGGUCCGCAGGUGAGCAGACGCCGAGGUCAGGUCCUGGGGAAGUUGAGGAACCUCCUUCUGGAGGCAGGAGAGGCCCAGGCUGCCUGGCUUCCUAAAACAAACUGCUCCGAACUCGCAGAACAUCAAAAGCCAGAUGGGAUAUACUGAAUGGAUCCACAGGCAAGAAGCCAGAAUCCCAGUUUGCUGUAGAAAUAGGCCUGGACUUGAUUUGAGUCUUCUCAGCUCUGACAAGCUGGAAGCUGGCCCGGGUCCCAAAAUCCAAAAUAAAAUGGCAUUUAAUUGUGACUAGACUCUAAAAAAGAUGUCAUCCUAUCUCCUUAGCCUGACACACACCCGCGGCACCUUAUCAAAUGCAGCCCUCCUCGGGAAGCCGACCUCUUCUCCCAGCAAAGAAAUGAUCAAAUAUUUAAAAUUUUUAAAAGGAAAUGUUAAUAGUCAAAGGAACAGUACUCGAUAAAUGCAUUAAUAUUACCUACUUUCAUAACGGUCUAGUUUCCAUUAGGUAGGACUUUGUUAUCAAAGAUUCAAAGGAUCCAUUUAGAAUUGUAAUAGCCAUCAUGGGAAAGGUUAUAAAUCAAGAUCGACAUGGAAAGGAUUACACCUCAAACUUUUUUUUUUUUUUUAAACCCACCAUGCAUGCACUGUUUUUGGUAAACGUAGGCUUAAUUUAGUUACACGAUUUCUAAUUACUCCGUGCCAUCACAUGAGAGAGAGAGAGAGAGAGGCAGAGAAUUAAGAGAAAGGGUCCCGGAAGCAGAGGAACCAGAGGAACCAGGUUCAAACGCAGACGGUACCACUUAUUAGCCAUGUGACUUUGGGCGAGUUAAUUAAUGUGCCUUGGUUUCCCCACCGAUAGAUAUCACAGGAGUCAUCAAAGCACCUCCCUCAGACAGUUACUGUGAAGGUUUAAUGAGUCAGUAUUUGUCAGCUGUUGGAGUAGCAUCUGGCACAUGGAAGGAGCUCUGUACCACUGUGGUUAACACCAACUGUGUCCACCAGGGAAGUUACAUUCUGAGCUGGCCCUGAACACGACCGGCCUGGGCCCACUCAUUCGUAAGACAGUUGUGACUCAAGGCAAAUGUUUCAGGCCACUGUGAGCCAGCUCAACUAGUGGAAAGAGCAAAGGACCAUGAUUCAGAGGCAUUUCAUCAGGUGGUGGAACCACGCUGUGCCUCAGGUCACCCGUGGGAACCAUACAGACUGCAGAGAAGCUGGAAACUGAUACGCCAGAGGGUGGGAAGGACCAACCUUGGAGGAGAGCUCUCUGGCUGAGGGAGAGGGACAAUAUGGAAAGUUUACCUUUGCUUCUCCCAUGCAGGGGGAUGUGGCACCGGGUCUGAAACAUGGCUACAAUCCAAAGGUCUCCCUUUCUUUGCGGGUAGCGCCAGCCUUACCUUCCCCUCUGGUUUCUGAGCCUUCCCAGCAUGGCCCUGCCUCAAGCCCAAACAGAUGUAGGCAAGGACCGCCAAGGGCAGUUAAUCCUACAGAAUGGCCGCCGCUGUCAGGCCAGGAGUUAAAAGGGAAAAUCUUGCAGGCUUUCACCGCGGCGCUGAUCCGAAGUUUUAAUCAGCCCCGUAUCUCAACCGCUAGGAAAAAGGGCGGCCAAUGAAAUCUACCUUGGCCAUAUUAUCCACCAUCAAUGAGCAAGAACUGAGCAGCUUUUCUUUGCUGCUUGAACCAUCCCGGGCCACAAGUAGGGCUUUCAUACUUUCUAAUCCGAGUUUCCAAGUCUGUGUGGUUCUCACAUAAUAGCCAACAGCCUGGAGCAAGGGCCUGCGCUUCGACACCCUUUUCAGGGACGUGUCAUUUCCAACAUCAAGCUAAUCUAUAUGUUGCCAUGGCUUCACCCUUUAUCUGCCUUUACAUCUUAUGAACUGCAUGGAUUUACCACAUUAUUUUUAUCUGAAAGACAGAAAAUGGUGGUUUUAUUGCCAUACAAUCAGAUUACUGCCGCUGGUUUCUCUAUGCCUUUUUACCAUACUUCAAUCAAAAGGGAUCAGUUUCUUUAUACUCUGCCCUUGAUUUACAUUACAUCUGUAAAGACCUAGUCUGGGUUGUAAUCCCCUUAUUAACUAUGACCAGGGUUGAUUUGCCUAAAAAUAAAAGCAAAUUGUGUCAGACCCUUUCACUUUGUUUUUGAUUCGGAACUACAAAAUGGAUUACUGAAGAAAUCUUCAGAGUUCACACGGCUAGCAUAGCACUGAAUUUAAAACAAGAAUUAAACAAGUUAAACAGGGGGCCGUGUCAACGGUUUACAUUUUCCAUCAUGGGAGAAGGACUGAGUUCCUUAUGUCUUUGUAUUCUCUAGCUUUACAGAGACAAUGAAGCCACAGGAGUUUUCCCAAGCUGUUCGGAACACUGUCCCCUUCGCCAUCCUUCUCUUCGCUUUUCUUCUAUCCCUCUCCCAGCCCCAUUCUAAUCCC